rnacentral:lncRNA from 1 species
AUUGUGAUAUACUUCCAAGGUUUCCGCGUGGUUUUGCCUGUAAGGUCAAAGAAUGCUCGUGGACAGCAGGGUUCAUAUCCAAUCAAACUGUUUUACACCUCCAACAUGCCCAUUAUUCUUCAGUCUGCCCUCGUUUCCAAUCUCUACUUCAUUUCCCAGGUAGUGGAGUUUUGUUAUGGUUAGUUACAAAUUGGAGUAAAUAUUUUUCUCUUGUUUUUAACAAUAUGAUUUUACCCGAUUUUUACAGCUGCUACACAGAAAGUACAGUGGAAACUUCAUUGUGAAUCUGUUGGGCAAAUGGAAGGAAUCUGAAUAUGGAGGUGGUCACUCUAUUCCUGUUGGUGGCAUUGCAUACUAUAUAACUGCACCAUCCAGGUAAUAGAGGUGUUUCCAUUCAUAUGGUUUUAUAAUUAUGAACAUUAUAUUCUUUGCCUAGUUUGUUAGACCCAUAUAUGAUAUAAAACAUCAACCAAUUAUAUAUUCUUAAUGUUAGUUAUUGUUGUCUCAACUCUAAUUUGUCAUUUUGAACUAUUGUUUUUUCCAGCUUAGCUGAUAUGGCAGCCAAUCCUUUCCAUGCACUGUUCUAUCUUGUGUUUAUGUUGUCAGCCUGUGCCUUGUUCUCUAAAACUUGGAUUGAAGUCUCUGGUUCAUCUGCUAGAGAUGUUGCCAAACAGUUGAAGGUACGGAUUUGAAUUGCAUUUAUAUAACAUUCAUUCUUGGUCUAUACCUUUACCUGGUAAUAUAAGAGCCUGUUUUCUCAGCACAUGCUCAUAAGUAAAUGUUUAUUUUCUCAAUAAGCAAUGUGACUGAGUACACUAUUUCAAGAUGUUGAAAGUCUUGUUUCCCCAAUUCAUUUGUUUAUACUUGUCUCCACUUAAAAUACAGCGCUGAUUAUUAGAUAGGUUUGAAUCUGAUUUAAAAGCAAUACCGUGUCUGAAAUUUCUUACCAUGUGGCAACUCUACUAGUAUUGUAUUUAUGCAGUUGAUCACUGUCUCAUGGCCAUGCACUGUUUAAACCACACAGAAAUUGGUGUUUGUAGUGAAAUUUGUGGGUCAACUGAUUCGUUCUAUUGCUUUCUAAAAUUUCUGCCAUUAAUAUAUUUUCAACUUGCAGGAACAACAAAUGGUAAUGCCUGGCCAUCGGGAGUCGAACUUGCAGAAAGAGCUGAACCGAUACAUUCCCACUGCUGCAGCAUUUGGAGGAAUAUGCAUUGGUGCCCUGACAGUAUUGGCAGAUUUCAUGGGGGCAAUUGGUUCAGGGACUGGAAUAUUACUUGCAGUAACAAUCAUCUAUCAGUACUUUGAGACGUUUGAGAAGGAGAGAGCCAGCGAGCUUGGUUUCUUUGGUUUCUAAGCUCUGCUCAGUUAUCACUGUUGGUGACGCAAUCGGGAUAAAUCCCACACCCACAGUUUUUGAGUAUUGAGGAAUGAUUGUAGGUACUUUAACACAGUAAGGAAGAACGUAGAUUAGCUUGCUAUCCCUUUUUUCUCAAGUGGGGAAGUACCAACUAGUAUAUCAUUGUAAACUUUUUUGCCUUUUCUCUGGAAAUAUUUGUGUUAAUUUAACGUCAAAGUUAGACACCAUGGGUUAAAAGUGAAUUUGAUUGAUCUGUGCGUACUUUUAGAAAUUUAUUAAUUUUGUUAUUUAUUUUUACUAUUUUCCUUGCAUGAAUAUUUCUUUGAUGAGUUUAUGUUAAUUUUGACCGAAGACUAAUUAAUUGAAGCUGACCCUCUAUCAUAUGUACAUUGUGUAGUUCUUCUACCUAAGUUGUCAAAAGCUCCAAAAACAACCCCUCCCGAAAUUACCCUCAACCCCUUCAUGAUUUACCUGAAUAGAAUUAUCAGAUGGUUAUCAUUAUUUAAGUUUAACACCAUUAUGUUAAUUGAUCAUAACCUCUCCACUCUCUCUCGAUAUAGAAGAGAAUCUUUCGGCACCCUUCUUCUCUGACCUCAGUGCUAAGACUAAGUAAUAUUUUGUUUUAUUUUCUUAUAAAUUUGCCUCACUUUCCUCUAAUAUUUUUAAUUUGAUUUCGGUAAAAACAUUUUUCCUUCUCUCACACUUUGUUUGAAGUAUGUUAAACAAGAAGAUACAUAUUGCACUGUUAAAUUCUAAAUGCAAAUUAGCAUAUUGGUGAAUUUUUUCAUGAUUCUUUGAAAAACUUUUAUGUGAAUUGAAAUGAUAUUUUAUAGAAUAAAUUUUUUUCAAUUACUGUACAACAAAGAAAAGAAGAAAUAAUUUAUAAAUAAUUUGGUAGAAUUUUGACACCGAACCAUGAAUUUGACAUGUAUUCUACUUUAUUAUAAAGUGUCUUUAUUUAUAGAAAAAUUUAUACUAUAUUACAUAUAAAGGGAAGUAGCUUUUGAUGUGGAUUAAAAAGUAAUAUUAGAGAUCCUCUUUUGAUGUGGAUUAAAAAGUAAUAUUAGAGAUCUUCUUUGGGUUUUUUUUUGAAUUUUUAUACAUUAAACUAAAGAAUAAAUAAAAAUUUCAAAGUUAUCGAACAACAGCUGAACCCCAACCUUCCUCCCGGGGAGUGCAACCAUGAGAGCAUCCAAUGGAAACUUAAGCCAAUUCAUUGUGACUAAAUAUAUCAAACUACCAUUUCCUCUUUGAUAAGGGUAGGAAUAGGCCAGACUUUAAAAGACAUGAGAUUGACCUACGAUUAAUUUUUUAGGCCUAAGUCUGACCUAUGAUCUAUCAUAAGUUUUUUUUCCGAUCUGACAUGACAUUUUUAAAAGUCUGGCCUGACCUGACAUUUUUAAAAGUCUGGCCUGGAAGCAUAUUUAAAAAUCUUAUUUAUAUUAAAAUAUUUAAAUGCUCUACUCAUACCACAUGAUGCUCUUCACAUACCAAUAUCAAUGUACAUAUCUAUAUAUAUUAAAUAAAAAAUAAUUUUUCUAACAAAAUAGUUUUAAAAAAAAUCUGAAACAAACAUCUUCUAAACCCUAAAACAUAAUUUUUGGUUUCAAAGAAUAUAUUUUUUCUGAAACAAACGCACCCAUUAUUACCUCUCAAACAAAUAUAAAACGACUACUAAGUGAUUUGACUAAUUGAAUGACUACCGAAUAUGAGACGACUACCAAAUAUGGAACGACUGCUGAAUAUGGAAUAACUACUGAGUGAUUGCCUAAUUGAUAUAAUUUAAAAUAGUAAAUAAUAUUAUUAAUAUAAUAAUAAAAAAUAAUAUUAAUAAAUAAUAAAAUAUAAAUAGGUCAGCCUGUCAGACCUAAUAGGCUUUUUUAUAACCUAUUUAAAUAAAUAGACUUUAAAAAUAGUCUGAGCCUAACAUUUUUAUUCAAUAGGCCAAGUCAAGUCAGACCAUAAGUAGACUAGACCAUAGACCCCUAACAGAAGGCCUAACCUAUUCUCAUCCCUACUCUUUGAUUGACAACUCAAACUUUCAAGGACUUCAUUGUCUUUUUAUUUAAUUUUGUGCAACCUUUUCAAUAGUUGUUAGUAAAAAAGGACAAUAAUAAUCUUCUAUCAAUGACUACACCAUCAAAACAUUUAUAUUUGUCUAAGAGUACAAUUUUUAAAAAACACACGAAAUUGAUUUGUCACAUGCAUGAUUUGUACCAAGUGAUACUCAUGCAAGGCCUUUGGUACACCAAUUAGCAACUUUCAUGGCCAAAAAGCUCUGACCUCCCACUCAAUGAAGCUCACAUUGUUUCCCUUAUUCAUUUCGCAACUAUAAAAUUAAAAAAACAAUCAGCUACAUUAUUUGCAUGUCUUUGUAGAGAUUUGACUGAGCAGCUGAAUACACUAUGUUGAACCAAAUAAAUACUGAUAUGGCUUAGGAUAACAAUAACCUAGUUGAUUUAAUAUUCUUUGAACAUGAUCAUUUUCUAAAUUUAUCUUUUCGUUAUGUGAAUAAUGCACGUGUUUGAUGUUUAAUAUAUGUUUCAUUUUUAUAGACAAUGGUAGAGCAAUAAUGCAAAUGGAACGACCAAUUGAGUUGAUUAGCAUGGUUGAUGACUCUAAGGAUGUUUGAAACUUGCAGUGAGGGUCACACAUAUGUGGUUUGAAAAAACAAUUUAUGCCACCGACAAUAUUACUGGGUUGAGUCGUGGACUAGGUUGCUCUCUUUAAGACGUUUCGAGGCACUGUCCAAAAGGUGCAAGGCAGACUAUCAACCACGAAGUCCCUAGGAUAAAACAUCCUAGAUCACUGUAUCGGAGUUCUACUGCACUGUAGAAAACCGUUCUAGAAUUACACCCACAAUAUGGCAGUCUGAUGACUACUAGUCAUAAUAUGACACUAAGACCAUUCAAAAGAAAUAGAAGAAGUGAGUAAGGAAAGUGAGAAGUUAGAAAAGUCUCAGAUAAAGAGAGUUUUUGGUGUGUCUUUUCAACUAAGGAGAGCACUGUAUUUAUAUAUAAAAUUCGUAACUGGAUCAAAGAGAGAAGUGCGAUACAUUAGGUCUGAUUCACUAAACGUGUGCUCAGAUAUUAAGGAUUUGACCACAUAAAUGUGCGCCACAAUUUGUUUGACCACCAAAACGUGCGCCACGUUUCAUUUGACCACAAUACGUGCCCUCAUACUUGACUUAGGUUUUUGACCGGACAAUAACAGAUACGCGAGACCAGUAAUUAGGGUUUUGACCAACAAAACUGAAGCGCGAAUUUGGGGCAAAGAACUGACUGGAUCAGAUGUUGAAUGUUGACUCGUGGAGGGCAAUUACGUAAUUAACGUAUCAAUUAGAGAUAAAAACGCAAACAUUCAUUUAAUUAAAUAAAUAAUUAAUUUUCAUAUGCUAAAAAAUGUUAUGUUUUCGUUAUGUGAAUAAUGCACGUGUUUGAUGUUUAAUAUAUGUUUCAUUUUUAUAGACAAUGGUAGAGCAAUAAUGCAAAUGGAACGACCAAUUGAGUUGAUUAGCAUGGUUGAUGACUCUAAGGAUGUUUGAAACUUGCAGUGAGGGUCACACAUAUGUGGUUUGAAAAAACAAUUUAUGCCACCGACAAUAUUACUGGGUUGAGUCGUGGACUAGGUUGCUCUCUUUAAGACGUUUCGAGGCACUGCCCAAAAGGUGCAAGGCAGACUAUCAACCACGAAGUCCCUAGGAUAAAACAUCCUAGAUCACUGUAUCGGAGUUCUACUGCAUUGUAGAAAACCGUUCUAGAAUUACACCCACAAUAUGGCAGUCUGAUGACUACCGGCAGAAUCUUCCCAAUGUCACAAAUCUGCUGGCCACUGUCUUGAUCUUCCUAAUUGUGAUAUACUUCCAAGGUUUCCGCGUGGUUUUGCCUGUAAGGUCAAAGAAUGCUCGUGGACAGCAGGGUUCAUAUCCAAUCAAACUGUUUUACACCUCCAACAUGCCCAUUAUUCUUCAGUCUGCCCUCGUUUCCAAUCUCUACUUCAUUUCCCAGGUAGUGGAGUUUUGUUAUGGUUAGUUACAAAUUGGAGUAAAUAUUUUUCUCUUGUUUUUAACAAUAUGAUUUUACCCGAUUUUUACAGCUGCUACACAGAAAGUACAGUGGAAACUUCAUUGUGAAUCUGUUGGGCAAAUGGAAGGAAUCUGAAUAUGGAGGUGGUCACUCUAUUCCUGUUGGUGGCAUUGCAUACUAUAUAACUGCACCAUCCAGGUAAUAGAGGUGUUUCCAUUCAUAUGGUUUUAUAAUUAUGAACAUUAUAUUCUUUGCCUAGUUUGUUAGACCCAUAUAUGAUAUAAAACAUCAACCAAUUAUAUAUUCUUAAUGUUAGUUAUUGUUGUCUCAACUCUAAUUUGUCAUUUUGAACUAUUGUUUUUUCCAGCUU